GAGGAAGGCGGGCGGCGUGCCUAAUACAUGCAAGUCGAGCGAACAGACGAGGAGCUUGCUCCUCUGACGUUAGCGGCGGACGGGUGAGUAACACGUGGUUAACCUACCUAUAAGACUGGGAUAACUUCGGGAAACCGGAGCUAAUACCGGAUAAUAUAUUGAACCGCAUGGUUCAAUAGUGAAAGACGGUUUUGCUGUCACUUAUAGAUGGAUCCGCGCCGCAUUAGCUAGUUGGUAAGGUAACGGCUUACCAAGGCAACGAUGCGUAGCCGACCUGAGAGGGUGAUCGGCCACACUGGAACUGAGACACGGUCCAGACUCCUACGGGAGGCAGCAGUAGGGAAUCUUCCGCAAUGGGCGAAAGCCUGACGGAGCAACGCCGCGUGAGUGAUGAAGGUCUUCGGAUCGUAAAACUCUGUUAUUAGGGAAGAACAAAUGUGUAAGUAACUAUGCACGUCUUGACGGUACCUAAUCAGAAAGCCACGGCUAACUACGUG
rnacentral:rRNA from 1 species